GACGAACGCGGCGGGCGUGCUUAACACAUGCAAGUCGAACGCUGAAGCCUGGCUUUUGUUGGGUGGUUGAGUGGCGAACGGGUGAGUAACACGUGAGUAACCUGCCCCCUUCUUUGGGAUAACGCCCGGAAACGGGUGCUAAUACUGGAUAUUCACUGGUCUUCGCAUGGGGGUUGGUGGAAAGGGUUUUCUGGUGGGGGAUGGGCUCGCGGCCUAUCAGCUUGUUGGUGGGGUGAUGGCCUACCAAGGCUUUGACGGGUAGCCGGCCUGAGAGGGUGACCGGUCACAUUGGGACUGAGAUACGGCCCAGACUCCUACGGGAGGCAGCAGUGGGGAAUAUUGCACAAUGGGCGCAAGCCUGAUGCAGCGACGCCGCGUGAGGGAUGGAGGCCUUCGGGUUGUGAACCUCUUUCGCUCAUGGUCAAGCCGCAACAAUGGUUGUGGUGAGGGUAGUGGGUAAAGAAGCGCCGGCUAACUACGUGCCAGCAGCCGCGGUAAUACGUAGGGCGCGAGCGUUGUCCGGAAUUAUUGGGCGUAAAGGGCUUGUAGGCGGUUGGUCGCGUCUGCCGUGAAAUCCUCUGGCUUAACUGGGGGCGUGCGGUGGGUACGGGCUGACUUGAGUGCGGUAGGGGAGACUGGAACUCCUGGUGUAGCGGUGGAAUGCGCAGAUAUCAGGAAGAACACCGGUGGCGAAGGCGGGUCUCUGGGCCGUUACUGACGCUGAGGAGCGAAAGCGUGGGGAGCGAACAGG
rnacentral:rRNA from 1 species